rnacentral:rRNA from 1 species
GUGGGGAAUCUUGCGCAAUGGGCGAAAGCCUGACGCAGCCAUGCCGCGUGAAUGAUGAAGGUCUUAGGAUUGUAAAAUUCUUUCACCGGGGACGAUAAUGACGGUACCCGGAGAAGAAGCUCCGGCUAACUUCGUGUCAGCAGCCGCGGUAAUACGAAGGGGGCUAGCGUUGCUCGGAAUUACUGGGCGUAAAGGGCGCGUAGGCGGACAGCUUAGUCAGAGGUGAAAGCCCAGGGCUCAACCUUGGAAUUGCCUUUGAUACUGGCUGUCUUGAGUUUGGGAGAGGUGAGUGGAACUCCGAGUGUAGAGGUGAAAUUCGUAGAUAUUCGGAAGAACACCAGUGGCGAAGGCGACUCACUGGCCCAAUACUGACGCUGAGGCGCGAAAGCGUGGGGAGCAAACAGGAUUAGAUACCCUGGUAGUCC